rnacentral:rRNA from 1 species
GACGAACGCUGGCGGCGUGCCUAAUACAUGCAAGUCGAGCGGACUUGAAGGAGUGCUUGCACUCCUGAGAGUUAGCGGCGGACGGGUGAGUAACACGUAGGCAACCUGCCCUCAAGACUGGGAUAACUACCGGAAACGGUAGCUAAUACCGGAUAAUUUAUUACAUAGCAUUAUGUGAUAAUGAAAGACGGAGCAAUCUGUCACUUGGGGAUGGGCCUGCGGCGCAUUAGCUAGUUGGUGGGGUAACGGCCCACCAAGGCGACGAUGCGUAGCCGACCUGAGAGGGUGAACGGCCACACUGGGACUGAGACACGGCCCAGACUCCUACGGGAGGCAGCAGUAGGGAAUCUUCCGCAAUGGGCGAAAGCCUGACGGAGCAACGCCGCGUGAGUGAUGAAGGUGUUCGGAUCGUAAAGCUCUGUUGCCAAGGAAGAACGUCUCAUAGAGUAACUGCUAUGAGAGUGACGGUACUUGAGAAGAAAGCCCCGGCUAACUACGUG